GAUGAACGCUGGCGGCGUGCCUAAUACAUGCAAGUCGAGCGAACAGACGAGGAGCUUGCUCCUUCGACGUUAGCGGCGGACGGGUGAGUAACACGUAGGUAACCUACCUAUAAGACUGGGAUAACUUCGGGAAACCGGAGCUAAUACCGGAUAAUAUUUCGAACCGCAUGGUUCGAUAGUGAAAGAUGGCUUUGCUAUCACUUAUAGAUGGACCUGCGCCGUAUUAGCUAGUUGGUAAGGUAACGGCUACCAAGGCAACGAUACGUAGCCGACCUGAGAGGGUGAUCGGCCACACUGGAACUGAGACACGGUCCAGACUCCUACGGGAGGCAGCAGUAGGGAAUCUUCCGCAAUGGGCGAAAGCCUGACGGAGCAACGCCGCGUGAGUGAUGAAGGUCUUCGGAUCGUAAAACUCUGUUAUUAGGGAAGAACAAACGUGUAAGUAACUGUGCACGUCUUGACGGUACCUAAUCAGAAAGCCACGGCUAACUACGUG
rnacentral:rRNA from 1 species